rnacentral:rRNA from 1 species
UACGGAGGGUGCAAGCGUUAUCCGGAUUCACUGGGUUUAAAGGGUGCGUAGGCGGGCAGGUAAGUCAGUGGUGAAAUCCUAGAGCUUAACUCUAGAACUGCCAUUGAUACUAUCUGUCUUGAAUAUUGUGGAGGUAAGCGGAAUAUGUCAUGUAGCGGUGAAAUGCUUAGAUAUGACAUAGAACACCUAUUGCGAAGGCAGCUGACUACGCAUAUAUUGACGCUGAGGCACGAAAGCGUGGGGAUCAAACAGG